UGGGGAAUAUUGGGCAAUGGGGGCAACCCUGACCCAGCAACGCCGCGUGAGUGAUGAAGGCCUUCGGGUCGUAAAGCUCUGUUGGGGGAGACGAAACCGUAUGUUAACAACAUACGCUGACUUAACCCCCUGAGGAAGCACCGGCUAACUCUGUGCCAGCAGCCGCGGUAAUACAGAGGGUGCAAGCGUUGUUCGGAAUUAUUGGGCGUAAAGGGCGCGUAGGCGGCCUGGUAAGUUAGAUGUGAAAGCCCUGGGCUUAACCCAGGAACUGCAUUUGAUACUGCCAGGCUAGAGUGCGGUAGAGGAUAGUGGAAUUCCCGGUGUAGAGGUGAAAUUCGUAGAGAUCGGGAGGAACACCAGUGGCGAGAGCGGCUAUCUGGGCCGCAACUGACGCUGAGGCGCGAAAGCGUGGGUAGCAAACAGG
rnacentral:rRNA from 1 species